rnacentral:rRNA from 1 species
AGAGUUUGAUCAUGGCUCAGAUUGAACGCUGGCGGCAGGCCUAACACAUGCAAGUCGAGCGGUAGAGAGAAGCUUGCUUCUCUUGAGAGCGGCGGACGGGUGAGUAAUGCCUAGGAAUCUGCCUGGUAGUGGGGGAUAACGUUCGGAAACGGACGCUAAUACCGCAUACGUCCUACGGGAGAAAGCAGGGGACCUUCGGGCCUUGCGCUAUCAGAUGAGCCUAGGUCGGAUUAGCUAGUUGGUGAGGUAAUGGCUCACCAAGGCGACGAUCCGUAACUGGUCUGAGAGGAUGAUCAGUCACACUGGAACUGAGACACGGUCCAGACUCCUACGGGAGGCAGCAGUGGGGAAUAUUGGACAAUGGGCGAAAGCCUGAUCCAGCCAUGCCGCGUGUGUGAAGAAGGUCUUCGGAUUGUAAAGCACUUUAAGUUGGGAGGAAGGGCAGUUACCUAAUACGUGAUUGUUUUGACGUUACCGACAGAAUAAGCACCGGCUAACUCUGUGCCAGCAGCCGCGGUAAUACAGAGGGUGCAAGCGUUAAUCGGAAUUACUGGGCGUAAAGCGCGCGUAGGUGGUUUGUUAAGUUGGAUGUGAAAUCCCCGGGCUCAACCUGGGAACUGCAUUCAAAACUGACUGACUAGAGUAUGGUAGAGGGUGGUGGAAUUUCCUGUAGCGGUGAAAUGCGUAGAUAUAGGAAGGAACACCAGUGGCGAAGGCGACCACCUGGACUAAUACUGACACUGAGGUGCGAAAGCGUGGGGAGCAAACAGGAUUAGAUACCCCAGUAGUCC